UGGCUGUUUUCCAAGACCCGGAGUAACUAGGUAUCCCUAGAAUUCCUCCGAGUCUCCUAAUAUCUUUCCAACUUCCCCUGCCUCCACUAUUUCCUCACCCUUCUAGUCUCCUCACACACCACUCCCUCAUCCUCCCAUUAUUCCCUUUCCAGUUAUCGCUACUAUGCACAGUCCCCCCACAAUUCCAGCUUCUGGCACCAGAUCUCCAAUUGCAGCAGGCCCCCUGCGCUACAAGGAACUCCCUUCUGGUCUCCCCGCCCCCCAGCCACUUCUCCCCAUCCUCUCCUGCCGAGAAUUCUCCUCCCUGGGAUUCUCCUGCCUCAGCUCACAAUACAAUUCUGAUACCCCACCCCCAACAAUUCCUUUCUCCCUCGCAUUCUACGGUCCCCUGGAACUCCUCCUUUCUCUUAGAACCCACCAAAAACUCCCCCACAUUGCCUCCAGAACUCUUGCAGUUCUCCGGGAACCCCCACCCACCCGCCAAGAAUUCCACUUCACUCCCCAGAACUCCCCUAGUUCUGCUCCCCCAACGAAUUCCACUUCUCUCUAGAACUCCCCGCUUUCUCCUGUCCCCCAUAACUCCGCACUACUCUCCAUGCCCCCGCCAGCACCCCCACUUCUAUACCCCCAGUACGCCCCCUCCCUCACCUGCUCCGCACCGCUCUGCUCCACUCUCGCCGCUACACAAUAGGGGGCGGACCCGCCUCCCCGCCUCGGACGCCCCGAGCGCCUCCCGUCGCCCUGGAGACCGCCAAUCCCCCUCCCGCGGCGGCCAAUUGGAGCCGCCAGAGGCGCGUUGAGGCGGGCGGGACCCCUGAGCGGCCUGGGAGUUGUAGUUUCAGGAGGGAAGGGUUCGGCGGCACGUGGGCUCAGGUCGCCCCCUCGUGGACCUCUGCACAGCCAAGCGUGGAAAGGCCGCAGGACUGGAAAUACCUGUCUGCAUUGGCGAGCUCCCAAAUCUUGCCCAGGCGCCUCCCACCGUGUGCAACUGGGGAAGUCUGCUCUGAGCGUGGGGUUGCCAAGUCAGCUCCCGAGGCAGCUCCGGCACCAACGACCCAGAGAAACAGGCCCAGAGGGGAGAAACGACAGAUAUCCUGACACAGGAGAUUGAAAGGGAGGAAUGAAAUAAAAGAUCACUUACUGGACCACUG